rnacentral:rRNA from 1 species
CCUACGGGUGGCAGCAGUGGGGAAUAUUGGACAAUGGGGGGAACCCUGAUCCAGCGACGCCGCGUGAGUGAAGAAGUAUUUCGGUAUGUAAAGCUCUAUCAGCAGGGAAGAAAGAAAUGACGGUACCUGACUAAGAAGCCCCGGCUAACUACGUGCCAGCAGCCGCGGUAAUACGUAGGGGGCAAGCGUUAUCCGGAUUUACUGGGUGUAAAGGGAGCGUAGACGGCAGUGCAAGUCUGGAGUGAAAGGCGGGGGCUCAACCCCCGGACUGCUCUGGAAACUGUACGGCUGGAGUGCAGGAGAGGUAAGUGGAAUUCCUAGUGUAGCGGUGAAAUGCGUAGAUAUUAGGAGGAACACCAGUGGCGAAGGCGGCUUACUGGACUGUAACUGACGUUGAGGCUCGAAAGCGUGGGGAGCAAACAGGAUUAGAUACCCUUGUAGUC